CUCCUACUCUUCUAUUUGAUACUGAUGAAAAAGGAGAGGCACAAGAUGAAAAAGGAGAGGCGCAAAUCUUCAGACCUUUGCGUCCGUAGUUUCACUGAACUAAACUUCUCUAAAAUAUACCCCAACCAGAGCUUAGUCUUAGAUAUUCUGUUUGUAGUUUAAAUUUGCUCAGAGUGAUUACUCCACCAUUACAAUGAUGUUUAUAGUGGCAAAAUGAUUGUAUAUGUAUGAUUGAUUGAUACAAAAGCUGCACAGUUAUGUCAAACCUUUUAUCUUGACAUUUUUUUAUGUAUCUACUAAAGAUAAGGGAGAACCUUUUAUCUUGACUGAAUCGUUGUUUGAGAGAAAACAGAAAGACGAAGGCGAUGAAGAGGAUACAUGAGCGGUCAAGUCAGCGUGAGGUGGAGAAGAUGUGGUGUUUCUGUCGGUGGCGCUGGGCCAACAACAUCAGACAGUGGACUACGGGGAGCUGCCGUGGGUGGUGGUUACAGUUUCCACGAGAGUGGGGUGGGGGUGGCACAUGUGGGGGCGACGACAGCAAGUGGAUCCGCACCGCUGAGGUGCACAACCACUCCGAGAAGGUAAUGACCUUGCUUGCUGUCGUGCGCUUUGCUUGUUGGGGUUGAUCAUUGAUUAGGCCACAACAACAGAGGAGUGGGAUCGGCGAGAAGAUUGAAGGUGUUGUGGACCCUGUACUCAAUUCCAACAAGAUUAACAAGGCAUCUAUGCUUGACGAGGCCAUUGAGUAUGAGAAGCAGCUAUAUCUCGAAGUACAAGUUAGUAAGCAUGCCUGGAUGCAUGGUUGGAGGAUGAGCUUAGAUUGAGGGAGAUGGUGGUCUCAUCGAGGACGUAUGCAUGUUGCUGAGGAGGUUCAGUUCUUGUAGGCUGGGUAAAACUUGAGUUGCCUACAAAUGAUUUUGCCCGUUUGUUGAAGAUUUUUCUGGGCUUGUGCAUGGCGAGCCCGAUGGGCUGCUUAUGAGCAGUUUGCACUGUAGGUUGUCAAAUCCUUGCAAGAUAGAAUGUGUUUUUUUUUGCAUUUUGGGCUUACAAUGGAGUAAUCAACAGUUACGACCAUGCAGGUAUGAACUUUGUAUGAGAGGCUAAGAUAGGCAUGGUGACAUGGAUCAUGGUACUUGGUUUUGCUAGAUUUCAUGUGUCUAUCCAUCUAUACUAUCUCCAACAAUGCAUAUUUUUCCCAUGUAUCUCUCAUUCUUCCAUGUAGCUAGAGACUUAGAAUAACCAACGGAACUUUCUCAAUUUUGUGUUUUCGCUCUUCUCAGAUUUUAGGCUGGGUGUAUAGAGAUGUGCGGCACACACUGAAUUUAGAUUUCACUUGGAAUAUAUCAUUGUGCCAUGUUCAAAAUUAGAACUACAUAGAAGAAUGAAAUUUUGUGAUUGGGCUGCUGUGGUGUUUCUUUUUAAAUAAAUGGCAUGCUAACUUGCUGGUUUAAUUUAGGUGUGUAAGAUAGUGUCUCCUUUCCGUUGCAACAAUCAACUUUCUCAGGUUUGUCCAGUGGUUUGAUGCAGCUGAACCAUAGAAGCAACCAAUAGCUAUUCUGAAUAAUUAUGACUGUUCUCAGCUAAACCACACCUGUACUAGCUAAACCAAGGAAGCAACUUAUGAUCAAACCUGACAAUGGUUAGCAUGAUCAGGUUGGAGGCGUUAUUUCUCGUGAGGAGGUCUUUUUGCUCAGUCUUGGUUUACUAGCUUCAUCCGGUUUUGAAGUGUCGGCAUGGUGUACAAGCCUGGUCAGUUUUCUUGGUCUAUCAAUUUAAGAAUUAGAAGCAGCAGGCGGCAGCUCAGGCUAGCGCCAUGUUUACCAUCUCAUCUCACUGCUGUCUAUAUUCCAUUUUUAGAUUCGAAAAUGAUUCCGAUGAUUUUUGUCUGCCUUGGGCAACCUUUCCAUUUCAGCCUCAUGUAGGAUUUUGGUCCCCGUGAUCUUCCUUGCAUAGAAUAGAUGACCUACUCCCAAUCCUCCUUACCUCCCCUCUGAAUCCUUUAUGUCUCAGUGGUUGCCCAGGCUUUCGUUCAA